UACAGAGGUCCCAAGCGUUGUUCGGAUUCACUGGGCGUAAAGGGUGCGUAGGUGGUGAGGUAAGUCGGAUGUGAAAUCUCCGAGCUCAACUCGGAAACUGCAUUGGAAACUACCUUGCUCGAGGGUUGGAGGGGGGACUGGAAUGCUUGGUGUAGCAGUGAAAUGCGUAGAUAUCAAGCGGAACACCAGUGGCGAAGGCGAGUCCCUGGACAACUCCUGACACUGAUGCACGAAAGCUAGGGGGAGCAAACAGG
rnacentral:rRNA from 1 species